rnacentral:tRNA from 1 species
AGGCCUAUAGUUCAGUUGGUAGAACGUGCUGCUCAUGACGGCUUUGUCGUAGGUUCAAAUCCUGCUGGGCCUA